rnacentral:rRNA from 1 species
UACGUAGGGGGCAAGCGUUGUCCGGAUUUAUUGGGCGUAAAGCGCGUGUAGGUGGCCAUGUAGGUCCGCUGUGAAAACUUGAGGCUCAACCUCAAGCUGUCGGUGGAAACCACAUGGCUAGAGUCCGGAAGAGGUAAGUGGAAUUGCGAGUGUAGAGGUGAAAUUCGUAGAUAUUCGCAGGAACACCAGUCGGCGAAGGCGGCUUACUGGUCCAUUACUGAGCGCUGAGGUGG